rnacentral:rRNA from 1 species
UGGGGAAUUUUGGACAAUGGGCGAAAGCCUGAUCCAGCCAUGCCGCGUGAGUGAGGAAGGCCUUCGGGUUGUAAAGCUCUUUUAGUCGGAAAGAAAGAGUUGCAAUGAAUAAUUGUGAUUUAUGACGGUACCGACAGAAAAAGCACCGGCUAACUACGUGCCAGCAGCCGCGGUAAUACGUAGGGUGCGAGCGUUAAUCGGAAUUACUGGGCGUAAAGGGUGCGCAGGCGGUCUUGCAAGUCAGAUGUGAAAGCCCCGGGCUUAACCUGGGAAUUGCGUUUGAAACUACAAGGCUAGAGUGCAGCAGAGGGGAGUGGAAUUCCAUGUGUAGCAGUGAAAUGCGUAGAGAUGUGGAAGAACACCGAUGGCGAAGGCAGCUCCCUGGGUUGACACUGACGCUCAUGCACGAAAGCGUGGGGAGCAAACA